GUAUUGUAUUGCGUUAGACGCGAUGUACAUUCCAUAAAACUUUAUUACAGUGUGUGUGUAAAGAAGUAGAACCACAGAAGGAAGACAGGGCCCCCCAGGCCAUAGAACUACAGAGGGUGCACAGGUGUGAGUGGAUGUGUAAACAGAGCGUGCACAUGCCCCCAUACAGGGGCCAGCAACAACCCUUGUUGACAAUUCGGUAAUGAUCCUUCCGCAGGUUCACCUACGGAAA
rnacentral:misc_RNA from 1 species